rnacentral:rRNA from 1 species
UGUUUCGGCUAGGGGGCCAUCCCGGCUUACCAACCCGAUGCAAACUGCGAAUACCGGAGAAUGUUAUCACGGGAGACACACGGCGGGUGCUAACGUCCGUCGUGAAGAGGGAAACAACCCAGACCGCCAGCUAAGGUCCCAAAGUCAUGGUUAAGUGGGAAACGAUGUGGGAAGGCCCAGACAGCCAGGAUGUUGGCUUAGAAGCAGCCAUCAUUUAAAGAAAGCGUAAUAGCUCACUGGUCGAGUCGGCCUGCGCGGAAGAUGUAACGGGGCUAAACCAUGCACCGAAGCUGCGGCAGCGACACUGUGUGUUGUUGGGUAGGGGAGCGUUCUGUAAGCCUGUGAAGGUGUGCUGUGAGGCAUGCUGGAGGUAUCAGAAGUGCGAAUGCUGACAUAAGUAACGAUAAAGCGGGUGAAAAGCCCGCUCGCCGGAAGACCAAGGGUUCCUGUCCAACGUUAAUCGGGGCAGGGUGAGUCGACCCCUAAGGCGAGGCCGAAAGGCGUAGUCGAUGGGAAACGGGUUAAUAUUCCCGUACUUGGUGUUACUGCGAAGGGGGGACGGAGAAGGCUAUGUUGGCCGGGCGACGGUUGUCCCGGUUUAAGCGUGUAGGUGUGUGUUCCAGGUAAAUCCGGUUCACUUUAACACUGAGGCGUGAUGACGAGGCACUACGGUGCUGAAGCAACAAAUGCCCUGCUUCCAGGAAAAGCCUCUAAGCAUCAGGUAACAUCAAAUCGUACCCCAAACCGACACAGGUGGUCAGGUAGAGAAUACCAAGGCGCUUGAGAGAACUCGGGUGAAGGAACUAGGCAAAAUGGUGCCGUAACUUCGGGAGAAGGCACGCUGACACGUAGGUGAAGUGAUUUACUCACGGAGCUGAAGUCAGUCGAAGAUACCAGCUGGCUGCAACUGUUUAUUAAAAACACAGCACUGUGCAAACACGAAAGUGGACGUAUACGGUGUGACGCCUGCCCGGUG